rnacentral:rRNA from 1 species
GAAAAGAACUUUGAAAAGAGAGUUAAAUAGUACGUGAAAUUGUUGAAAGGGAAACGAUUGAAGCCAGUCGUACUCAUGGGUAAUCAACCUUUCUGGCGCGAUUAUGUUGGCGUGUUGGAGCCUAACCAGCCCUCAUGUUCUAAUAUUCGUUCCUCUUGGGUGUACUUGCCCGUGCUGUAGGUUAACAUCAAUUUCGGGCGUCAUAAAAUGAUGGGAGGAAUGUAGCUUCGGUCUCGUACUGAAGAACUUAUAGCCUCUGGUAGAUGUGACGUCUGGGAUUGAGGAUUGCAACGGAUACCUCUCGGGGCUACCUGUCUGGCCUCUGAUGAUUGCUAUGGUGCCGAAAGCUUGCUUACGGUCAUCAAAGUUGAUUGUCAAAAGGUUAGAACAGGUUAAAUUC